rnacentral:tRNA from 1 species
AGUUUACUAUUAUAAAGUAAGUAAGUUGAAUUUCCAAUUCAAAAGUCUAAGAUAGGUAAAUUA